GAAUUGGGCAAGGUUGAGGAACUCCUGAAUGAAUGUAAAGGUUACCAGAAUGUUCUGUUAAAGGUGAUGAAUACAGAGAGGCAAGAAGCCCCAGAAGCAGAGACUUUUAAAGCUCGAGUCUUAUCCAACUUAGAAUCUUUUGAGAUUCAUGAAACCACAGUUACCCAGGGUUUGGAGACCUCUCCAGAUAGCGUGCCAUCUUCAGACAAAAAGCCCACGCUGUCCUCAGCCCCCAGCAACACUCUUGUCACAGAUUCUAACCUGGAAA